GAUAUGUGAUACCUUCUUUAUUUCUUGGUGCAGUCCAUGAAUGCCAAUACCCGUGUUCACAUAUAACAUUAGUCUGCUUGUAACUUCACAGUGGCAUAAACUUAAUAAAAAUAUCAUAUGAUUUAGUGCUCCCAACUCAAUAUUUAGCUGUCAAUGUUAGAGCCUGUAUAUUUGAUUACUUACAAUAAAGUUUUUCUUUUUUAUCACAUCCCAGACUCCCACCAUAUAGAACAAUAAAAUCAAAACACAGGAAAUUGAAGUGUUAAGACAUAAAUUAUAUUUGAGUAGGUCACUACGGAUAGCUAAUAUUGACAGAGCUUAGAAUGAGCGUCCUCUGACCCUUUGGGGAAAACUGAGAACAGGUUCAAGCAGCAGCCAUCAGGACUCAGAUUUCAAUUUUGUAAGUGCAAGGAAAAAUAUUAAGUGAUAAUUACAGAAGUUAUUUGAGACAUCAGAAAGCUUGAAGCCAACUUAAUUACUGCAUUCUACUAUAUAUAUGUAUAUUUGAGAAAAAUCCAUAACUUGAGAGUCAGCUUUCAGAAUUUAUGAAAUUUUGCAGUGUGCAUUUUUAAAACAGUAUUUUUCCAUAGAAUAAAAAUAUUAAAAAAUCAUAUCAUAAGACUCAGCCUUAAUUACCAUGGAAUAUAGUUUAUGAAGUAAAUAAAUCACAUUUCUGCCAAGAAUUAUAUAUGGUUAUGAAAAAUUAAUAAAACCAUUUUGAAUGGACCAAAACAAUAAAAAAGAAUGGUGCUUGAAUCUUCUAGGUUUUAAAAGCCUAUCCAGAGAGCAGUUCUUCCAGAACUGCUGAGGAACAUAUGAAAAGAUAUAUGCACGAUCAUGAGGUGAUUGGAUCAUUCUGAAACCUGUAUUCCCCAUACUUGUCUGGAAGUAUUCAAAGGUCUGUUCUACAGAAAUUUCAGUGUUGCUACAAUGGGCUGAGAUACAAACAUGGAAGCAGUUCAUGCUAACCAGACUCCAUUUUCCUUGGCUCCAGGACUUCACUUUGAGGAGUCCUGGGAAAGGCUUCCCAACACAGAGUGAACAAUGAUGUCAGGAAGGGAGUUAGGCUGCAGGUUUGAGGCAUGUUUUGUUAGGAGAGUCAUUAUAUGCAUGGUUUGUCCAGCACCAUGUAAAAUUGCUUAGUUAGUAUUUCUCCUCAUUGCAGACAGAUACUCUAUGCCCGUCAACAAUACAUGAAGCAGGGGUAAUUAGUUAGGUUAACUCUUUAACUGUUGGUAAACUAUUCAUCUAUGUUUGUUAGUAAAUAUGGUGGUUUCUAUAAGCAAAAUCAUUAUUUCAAAGUAUUAACCAACCAUUUAUUGAUUUAAUUUAUCUUUAAGUUUUAAUUGUUAAAUGAUGAAAUUCUGAUCAUAGACCAUUGUUGUUUCACCUUUGAAAUAAUUAUUUAGGUGCCAAUAUUUGCCAGUAGUUAGUGAAUUCCUUUAAGAAUAAUUCCAAAUGAAGACAAGCAAGAUGACUCAAUGGAUAAAGACACUGGCUUCAAAGCCUACAAACCUGAGCUAAUUUACUGGGACUCAUAUUGUGGACAGAUAGAGCUACGUACCUCCUGUUGUCCUGUGACUUCCAUAUUUAUAUCAUGGCAUCUGUGUGUGUAUGCACAAAUUAUUCCCAUUUCCACUCUCUCUCCCUCUUUACUCUCCUUUCCCCCAAAAC
rnacentral:lncRNA from 1 species